AGACAUCGUCUUACACAAUAAAAUUAUAAAAUAUCAAGCAAUGAAUCACCCAAAAUUCAAUAAGAUAGCAUCAAAUUUUUUGUUCUAGUGUAGGCACAAACCUUAUUGAUGAAAGGUGUGGAACUUGAGGGUAUAACUGAAGAUAUAAUUAAUAGGAAUAUAAUUCAAUUUUUGACUGUCAUUGUUAAAUAAGAUUAGCUUCAUUUUAAUUUAAAUUGUCAUUGGUGAAGAAAAUUAGCUUCGACAAUAACAAUAAACUUAAUGUUUUUUUUAUGUAUCUUUUGUUUAUAUAAGAAAAAUGAAAAUUAAAGAAGAAAAAAAAAGAUGAGUAUGAAGGUACAGGCAAAGAUAGGAGAAGAAAAAAGGGCGUUGGAUUAGGGGUUUUGAAAAAAAAGAAAAAGUGUCUAAAUAUAUUAGGAGAGGAGCUGAUGAAGAAAGAGAACUUGGAGUGGGAUAUUUUGAAGAAGGAAAAAAGGGGUGAAGGGUUUCAAAGAGGAAACUUCGAGCCCCCACCCAUUUUUUCCUUCUUCAAAAUAACCCACCCCACCCCAUUUCUCCAUCUUCGACCUCCCCCCGCUCCUCCCCAACACACUUUUUCUCCUUCUCCCAAAACCCUCACCCAAAUGUUGUUUCUCUUUCUCCUGCCACCCCUCCUUCCCCUUUUUUGCACCACCAUCCUUGUCUCUUUUAAUAUUUGAUUUUUUAUAUAUAAUAUGAAGAUGCAUUGAAAUUAUUUUACUUUAUCAUUAUUAUCCUCAAAUUAAAGUUAAUUUCUUCAACAAUGACGGUAAAUAUUAAAAUCAAAGCUAAUUUUUUUACAACAAUGACAAUCAAAGAUAUUUUGAUGCAAAUUUCUUGAAUUUUGAGUGAUUCAUUGUUUGAUGUUUUAUAAUUGUGGCACAAGAAAAUGUAUUUUAAUAUUAAACAAAAAAGUUUUAAAAGAAAAUUAUGUGAUGUUGAUGUGAUACUAAUGUGGCGUUGAAGAGGCGUGUGCAAAAACACUUCCUAGUGUGAGACUAGUAUUGUAGUUUUAAAGUGAAAGUAAAAUUCACUUGAAAAUUGUUCAGAAGUGGUAUCUAUAUGAACAUUUAGUUAAAAUGCUAAAGUAAAUUUUGUUGUAAAGUUUUAGGUGAUUUGAUGUAUAUAAAAUUCAAAGUUUUAAAAUCUACUUUUCUCUUUAUUCUUAGUCCUGAUAUUUGUUCUUUUUCUUGUCUUCACAAGAUAAAUGGGAAAAAUGUUCAUAUGAAAACUAAAGCAAAAACUUUAUUUUUUUUCAUUUGAUAUAAUUAGAUGUUUCUGAUUGUAAGUUCAUUCUUUACUUGUCUUUUAUUUUUCAAGUUAACUAUUAAAUUUCUGCUUGAUUUUUUUAAAAAAAAGUUUGAUUAGUUUUUCUAGAUGAGCAUUUUGAUUAUUUCCUUAGUGUUUUUUAUUAACAUUUUAAGACAAAGUAGUUCUACAUACAUUUUCAAUUUAUUUAUAUUUUCUUUUCAAUAUUAUUUUAUGUGAUUUUAUCUUUCUAUUUAAUUUUUUAAAUUAUACUAAUUUAUGAAAUAUUAAAAGAUUAGGUAAAAUGCACCGUUGCUUUUGCGCCUUUUUAUAACACUUGGUUGCUAAUGUUCUUUUCUUUCCUACUGUAUUCCUUUUUCGUACCUUGUUAGAAAUGAUUUACUUGAGCUAAGAGUCUAUCGGAAAGCACCUCUCUAUCUUCAUAAGAUAGAAAUAACACGUGUUUACACACUAUCCUUCUUAUGAUCAUGUUUUUGUAUAUACAAGAAAAUAGAAUAGGCUUGGAAGUGUUGAUUUGGUCCUCAGAAUGACACAAUCAGAUAACUCUUAAAGGACCUUAUCUAACACUAAUUUGUGGAAAGCAAUAACCUCAUUUUAUACUAAAGGACAGGAAGUUGAAGCAAUCACUAUUAGCUCUAUUCCUUGGAUUGUUCUUGCCUCAAAUUUUAACAUCAAUAUUCAAGAUAUACAGGGGCAGAAAUGAAAUACAAACAGAGUUGAGAUAAGAUGGAUCGACUUUCCGUUAGCAUUUUUUCUAUGACAAGGGAAACCCGCAGCCACACCCACUCAUGUGCAAUAGCUCGAAAAUCACACAAGAUAGGAUAAAAAAGCAAAAAUGCGAUGUUCUUUAUCAUUUGCUAUAGUUUGAUGUAUCUGAUUGUAAGUUCGUUAUUCACUUGUCUUUUAUUGUUCAAGUUAAUUAUUAAAUUUCUAAUAAAACUUCAUUAGUUUUUUAGAUGAGCAUUCUAAUUAUCUCAUUUAGUCAAAUACUGAUUUUAGUUAACAUUUUAAGAUGAAGUAGUUCAACAUACAUUUUCACUUUAUUUAUAUUUUCUUUUUAACAUUGUUUUAUGUGACUUUGUCUUUCAAUUUAAAUUUUUUUAUUAAAUUAAUUUAUAAUUAUUAAAAAUUAAGGAGUUUACGCUUGCUUCCGUACCUUUUUAAGACACGGAUGGCAAACGUUCUUUUCUUCCUACUGUAUUCCUUUUUCAUACCUUCUUAGAAAUAAUUUACUUGAACUAAGAGUCUUUCAGAAAUCACCUCUCUAUUUUCACAACAUAGGAAUAAAGUCUAAGUACACUACACCGCAACUAUAGAUAAUAUGAUCCUAUUUUUGUUUAUGUAAUAAAUUUCCCCAACCACUACUUAUUGAAUGGGAUUGAAAGUGUUGAUUUGCUCUUCUGAAUGACAUAAUCAGAUAACUCUCGAGGACCUUAUCUCACACUAAUUUGUGAGAAAACCAAUAACCUCAAUUUAUACCAAAGGAGAGGAAGUUGAGGCAAUCACUAUGAGCUCUAUUCAUUGGAUUGUUUUUGCUACGAAGUUUAAGAUCAAUAUUCAAGAUAUAUAACACUAAUUUGUGAGAAAACCAAUAAACUCAAUUUAAACCAAAGGACAGGAAGUUGAGGCAAUCACUAUGAGCUCUAUUCAUUGGAUUGUUUUUGCUACAAAGUUUAAGAUCAAUAUUCAAGAUAUACAGAAAGUAAUGAACUACAAACAGAGUUGACAUAGGAUGGAUCAAAAUAUGAUGCCUCCCAAAAGCAUUUGUGAAGAAAACGGGUCACGAACAUCGAUCAUAAACACCAGAAAUUAUAUAGGAUGGUACUGAAUAAAUCUUGGUGAAUCAAGUACUUUGACUAACUAGUUAACCUGUCAAAAAUAAUAAUGAUAAUGAUAAUAAUAAUUAUGUAUAUGAUGUCGAACAUACCUACCAAAUCCUUUUUACAGGUGUCUAGAAUCAAGAAUCUAUUUGUUUCGUACGGUUGAAGUCAUUUUCCUUACACUCUUCUUGAAUGUGCAACUAGAAUUUACCAAAUCAGAUCCUAUUUGUACUUGGAUUGCUAUGGGCUAAUUGGCGAUGUGAUUGACUACCUACUCUCCUUAUGAUGUACAAGUAACAAACUCCUGAAAUCUCUUUGUAUAAGAGAACUUUAAAAAUGAAUAGUCAUUCAACCUAGUAUUCUGACUUUCAUAGGAAAUGUAACAACAUCUAUAAGGUCUUCUAGAUUUAGCAAUUCACAUUCAACGGUGGAACUACCCAAAGCAAACAAGGCACUUCAUGAUCAUGGAUUGACAUAUUGCUAAUUUUCAUUAUCUUCUGCUUUCCCUUGCAUUAUUUUUUAUGACAAGGAAACCCGCAACUACUCCUUUGCAAUAGCUUGCAAAUCACACAAGAGAGGUAAACCUACUUUCCCUUGCAUUCUUGUUAGAUAUUAGCUAACUUUCUAUUUUCAAUGAAGGAUAGGCAUAUAAAAAAAAGUAGCACAUUUCUCACUUGUGACAACUACAUAAAAGUGGUGGCGCAACACACAGUAUUAAUUCUUUAUCAGAAAGAUACUAAGCAGAUCUCAUCAAAAUCAUAAGCCCUUUCCAUUCAUCAAGGCAAGCAACAUAUACAGAAAGAUGAAACAAGAAAUUUAUGGUGGUACCAAUAACAAAUGGAUAAUUACAGCACAACAACAAAGAAGUCAAAAGUGUACAUUGUUUCAA